UAUUUCUUCUGCAUGAUUGUCUAUAUCUAUUAAACAUGUGUCUUUAUUUUGUUGUAAUUUUGUAGCAUUGAGAAUAACAGCUUUGAGACCACCUUCUAAUUUGUUUAUGAAUUGUUGGGCAAAUUUUUCCAAGGUGGAUGAAGUUUUUUUAAAUGUUUGGAAUGCGUCUGAAAUGUUGAUAGGUUUGUGUUUUCCUUCCCAUUCCUUGUGGUCCAUAAUUGUACAGUUCACACAGAUUGGAGUUUUACAACCUGUGCAGUAGAACUCCAAAGGUUUACUGUGAUGUGAACACAGAGGUGGAUGUAACAAAGUCAUCUGAGAGGGGCUCAUUGAUUGCACAUCCUCCAUUAAAUGUAACUUGUGAUUCGCCAUGGCUUUAAACUUCUUAUGUUGAUCACUACAAGUAGAGCACAAGUACUGUCUGCAAUCCUGGCAGUAGUAUUUUACUUGUCUUUUCUUUUCACAAACACUACAUUUCAUGUGACCACUCUCUGAAAAUAGUUCGAUAGUUUCUAAUAAGUUAUUUAGAAAGGUAUUUGGUGGAAGCUUCUCAAGCCCUCUUUUUGGAAUUGGAUAUGAUUUUGAGCAAGUUGGGCAAGUCAGCUGACCCUUCUCCUUAACCCAAUCUUCCAGGCAUGCCAAACAGAAACUAUGGAGGCAGUUGAGGGAUUUUGGAUUUUGAAGUCUCUUAAAGCAGAUGGUACACUCUAAGACCUUCUCAUCAACAUGUUCCAGAAACUGAUUCAACUUACUGGUAGCCAUCUUUAAUUGAUAUCCUGUGAAAUUUAAAUAAUAGCCGGGUUUUGUUUUCGUCCUCAGCAAAUCAAACAACGGCAGCAGAGUCCAUACAAGAAGAAGAAUAAGGAAGAGCUGGAAGCAAGAGAACACAGAUGAGGAGGAGGCGGAGCAAAAUAAAUACUGUGUCAUCUGGUCUGUCAAGAGUCAUCAGACAUUUUCAAAGAUUUUCAUUUAAGGUUUGAACAAUUGUUUGAUUUGUGUGUUAAGAACUAUAUCAUAUGAUUCAAUCUUGAGUAAUCAUGAUAUACAGUUUUUUGUAAUACUUGACCGAGUUACUUCAAAUUCAAUAUUAAUUAUGAACAAUUAAGGAAUUAAUUGAAUCAAUGGACCCUCAUAAACUCAACAAACUGAACGUUUAAUAGGAAUAUUCUAGACUUGUUUUAAAGACU